AAUGAAAUCUCCCAUUUGUAUCUCCAAGGAAAAUGAAAAGCUCCAGGGGAUUGCACUGGCCAAUGCAGCAACUUUUGCCAGGAUAUCACAGACCUUCAUCAGAGCUUCCUCAGGAUUCCAGUGGUUGCUUUUAGAUUUUACUGCAGUUGCAGGCUGAUCUGCAAGCCAUGAUUAAGACAACACACCUGUUAAAAUCAAGAUCAUAAUGGUUAGAGAGUGGGUGACUUCGACUGCCGUCAUGGAUGACCUAAGUUUAGAAACAAACUUGCAUGAUGAAACAGUCGAAUUCAGUGCUAUUAAGGAAGAAUAUGCAGAGGACAUCAGUGGGGAAAAUUACCACAGAACAGAAAUAAGUGAGGAUACAGGUGAAGAAAGUGCUGUUUAUAUAAAGGCUGAAAGUAUGUGUCCAGUAUCAGUAGGAACAAAAUUUGCAAGUGUUGAAGGAAGUAAAAGUGACUCAGAUGAUGGAGAUCCAUUGCAUGUGGGACCAUCUGUGAUUGGUGACUCUGGGGACACAGACUAUUCAAAUUGUGAAGAGACAACCCCAGAGGGGGAUCAUUGCAAGGUAAAAUAUAAACUGUUAACAAGCAAACAAGUGAAACCACAGCUGUAAAAUCUGCAGUAAAGCAUUCUCUUUGAAAGGCAAUCUAGUGCAACACAUGAGUGUUCAUACAAAAGAAAAACCUUUUAUUUGUGAUGUCUGUAGUAAAUCAUUUGCUUGGAAAAGUAAUUUAGUGAGUCAUAUGAGAGUGCAUA